CCUCUUUCCUGUUUGGUAUAUGCUUGGAAUGAGCAUUCACAGUGAAGCUAGCAAGCUGGAGAUUUACCUAACUGUUUCUGUUGGUGUGCUUAAACAGAAAUAAAGAUACAUCUCAGCAACUGUUGUCCACGGGUCAC